rfam:Oryza rufipogon genomic scaffold, chr11
UUUAAGUGUAACCAUGAGUUUCCGUGUCCAAUUUUGAUCAUCUGUCUUAUUUGAAUUUUUUUUAUUAAUAUGUUUAUUGUAGUUAGAUGAUAAAACAUGAAUAGUACCAUGUGACAUGUUUUUCAAUUUUUUUGAAAAAAAUUUCAAAUAAGACGAAUGUUUAAAGUUAGACAUGAAAACCCAUGACUGCACUUAAA